GGUGGCUCACUGGUAGAGCACUUGCCUUGCAUGCAUGAGGCCCUGGGUUCAAUUCCUCAGUACCA
rnacentral:tRNA from 1 species